GCCGACUUGUGCCCGGAGAACUGCUUUACACACUUCCGUCUCUGGACGUAGCCCGUACCCUACAAGAACUCGGCAGCUCCUGCCAGAAGCAUGAAGGGAUUUUUCUCCAGUAUUUACUGUGAGGACCUGAUGAACUCCUGGAGGUAAAACCCACAAAAGUGUGAGUCGGUCCCUCUGGAGUUUAUAACUUUUCAGACUUGGCUGCACCGAGCCUCCAGUGAUUUGUCAAUUACAGUUCAAGUUUCCCUACCCCAGCACCGGUUCCUGUAAGGUUUUCAGCUCAUGAGUUUCUACUAUGCCUUAAAAAAGCAUUGUCAUCCACUAUGAUUCAGAUUAAACCUAUUAACUCUGGCCUCUAUCCUACUAUUCUACUGACAUUACAGGUAAGUCCUCAGAGAACUCUUGAUUGCAUAACAUUUUCAGGCCUCAUAGUCUGAUCCUAAUCACUGUGUGACACUGACACUUCCACCCUCUUGCAAGUAUCUGCUUUCAUGCUUUUCUGAUAUCCAUUAAUACUUGUUCUCAUGCUUUUGAUUUCUCCUUUUCAAUUGCUUUUCCUGGCUCUGUUAAUUCAAUAUUGGUGCACUUCUUGUUACCAGCAAUCUUCUCAUUAGCUACCCUUGGGUAAGCUCUUCUACUUAAAUGGCUUCCAGAACUGCCUGAUCUUUAGCUCCAAGCCUGCACAC